rnacentral:rRNA from 1 species
CCUACGGGCGGCAGCAGUGGGGAAUUUUGCACAAUGGGCGCAAGCCUGAUCCAGCUAUUCCGCGUGUGGGAUGAAGGCCCUCGGUUUGUAAACCACUUUUGUAGAGAACGAAAAUACACCUUUUAAUAAAUGGUGUUGCUGACGGUACUCUACGAAUAAGCACCGGCUAACUACGUGCCAGCAGCCGCGGUAAUACGUAGGGUGCUAGCGUUAAUCGGAAUUACUGGGCGUAAAGGGUGCGCAGGCGGUAGAGUAAGACCGAUGUGAAAUCCCCGGGCUUAACUCGGGAAGUGCAUAUGUGACUGCUCGACUAGAGUGUGUGAGAGGGAGGUGGAAUUCCAAGUGUAGCAGUGAAAUGCGUAGAUAUGUGGAAGAACACCGAUGGCGAAGGCAGCCUACUGGGACAUAACUGACGCUGAGGCACGAAAGCGUGGGGAGCAAACAGGAUUAGAUACCCGAGUAGUC